GAUUAACGCUGGCGGCGUGCAUAACACAUGCAAGUCGAACGAUGAAACUUUAAUGAACCCUUCGGGGAGAAUUAAAGCGGAUUAGUGGCGAACGGGUGAGUAACGCGUGAGUAACCUGCCUUACACAAGGGGAUAGCCUUUGGAAACGAAGAAUAAUACCCUAUAAAACCAUAAAAGCACAUGCAAUUAUGGUCAAAGUGAUAGCGGUGUAAGAUGGACUUGCGUCUGAUUAGCUAGUUGGUGAGAUAAAAGCCCACCAAGGCAACGAUCAGUAGCCGGCUGGAGGGAGUGUCCGGCCACAUUGGGACGGAGACAGGGCCCAAACCCCUACGGGAGGCGGAAGGGGGGAAUUUUGCAAAAGGGGGGAAACCCAAAUGCAGCGAGGCGCGUGAUUUAGAAAGCCUUCGGGUUGUAAAAAUCUUUUGUAUAGGAAGAAAAUGACGGUACUAUACGAAUAAGGUCCGGCUAAUUACGUG
rnacentral:rRNA from 1 species